GGAUUUCCCAACAUUUUCUCUCAUUUUUUUUUCUCUUUACAAAGAUGUGACUUCUCCUCUGUUACUGUUAGAGAACACCCGGGGCCGGAGCGCGUCUCUCUUCUUCUUUAUUACCGUUUAAACUGUGUGUGAAUGCGGCACCGGCAGGUCGGAGCCACAGAGAGGCUGGAAGCUGCCGUCUCUCGCGCUCUGAGCGCCACCUACAGGCGACAGUCGGCACGUGAGCGAGGCAGAGCUCGAGCUCAGCUUGGAGCACGGGCUUUCCCCGCCACUGUGGAGCAGAGGCAGCAGGGGAAACAGAACAAAAUGGAGUCUGUAGUGGAGAAUACCGUGGUAUUUAUUGGACGUUGUGGCUGUUAUUACUGCAAGAGAACGCAGCAUGAGGUGGAUGGAGGCUGUUAUCCAAAGCUCUGAUACCACACACAACACAUAUGGAUUCUGGUUUUGCAUAUGGCUGCUUCAGUUUCAGUGCAUCUGCUCAGUGGGCCAAUCCAAAUGCAUCAUUCAGAGAGAAAUAAAAAGACCAUCUUUAAAAAUUCACCUUUACCGUUAAUAAAAUCUCCAUCCUGUCAAGU